rnacentral:rRNA from 1 species
UACGGGGGGGGCAAGCGUUGUUCGGAAUUACUGGGCGUAAAGGGCUCGUAGGCGGCCAACUAAGUCGGACGUGAAAUCCCUCGGCUUAACCGGGGAACUGCGUCCGAUACUGGAUGGCUUGAGUAUGGGAGAGGGAUGCGGAAUUCCAGGUGUAGCGGUGAAAUGCGCAGAUAUCAGGAAGAACACCAAUGGCGAAGGCAGCUCUCUGGGACGGUACUGACGCUGAGACGCGAAAGCGUGGGGAGCGAACAGG